CAUCAGGAAGGACUGGAGGAUGGAGAGGCUCAGAGGUCUCUGGCCUGGAGUAUCAGCUGGUGAGCCGUCUGUCGGGAAACUUGAGCAAGAGGUGACUGACCUGGAAUUGAAUAAAACGGAGAACACUGGACAACUGCAUAGGGUAGAAACGGAUAGAGACUGAGUGGGAGAGCCUACAGAGAUGAAAAAGAAGCCAGAAGUGAGAAGGAAGAACGAGCGAGGGGCACAAGCAGGCUAGGUGUGGUGGAGAGGUAGGUGGCGGACUGCUUGGAAGAGACUCCAGAUGUGCUGAUACGGAGAGGGAACUGGGCAGAGGGGG
rnacentral:lncRNA from 1 species